rnacentral:tRNA from 1 species
UCAAAAAUAGUUUAAUUAAAAUAGUAAUUUUGGGAAUUAUUGAUAUAUUGAAUAAGUAUUUUUUGAA